rnacentral:rRNA from 1 species
GACGAACGCUGGCGGCGUGCUUAACACAUGCAAGUCGAACGAUGAAGCCGGAGCUUGCUCUGGUGGAUUAGUGGCGAACGGGUGAGUAACACGUGAGCAAUCUGCCCUUGACUCUGGGAUAACUGCGGGAAACUGUAGCUAAUACCGGAUACGACACCUUGGGGCAUCCCAGGGUGUGGAAAGAAUUUCGGUCAAGGAUGAGCUCGCGGCCUAUCAGCUAGUUGGUGAGGUAAUGGCUCACCAAGGCGACGACGGGUAGCCGGCCUGAGAGGGUGACAGGCCACACUGGAACUGAGACACGGUCCAGACUCCUACGGGAGGCAGCAGUGGGGAAUAUUGCACAAUGGGCGAAAGCCUGAUGCAGCAACGCCGCGUGAGGGAUGAAGGCCUUCGGGUUGUAAACCUCUUUUAGCAGGGAAGAAGCGAAAGUGACGGUACCUGCAGAAAAAGCACCGGCUAACUACGUGCCAGCCGCCGCGGUAA